rnacentral:rRNA from 1 species
GUGGGGAAUAUUGGACAAUGGGGGAAACCCUGAUCCAGCAAUGCCGCGUGAGUGAUGAAGGCCUUCGGGUUGUAAAGCUCUUUUAUCAGGGAAGAUGAUGACGGUACCUGAGGAAUAAGCUCCGGCUAACUUCGUGCCAGCAGCCGCGGUAAUACGAAGGGAGCUAGCGUUGUUCGGAAUUACUGGGCGUAAAGGGCGCGUAGGCGGCCUUGUAAGUUAGAUGUGAAAGCCCCGGGCUUAACCUGUGAACUGCAUUUAAGACUGCAAAGCUAGAGGACGAGAGAGGAAAGUGGAAUUAUGAGUGUAGAGGUGAAAUUCGUAGAUAUUCAUAAGAACACCAGUGGCGAAGGCGACUUUCUGGCUCGUAUCUGACGCUAAGGCGCGAAAGCGUGGAGAGCAAACAGGAUUAGAAACCCGGGUAGUCC